rnacentral:lncRNA from 1 species
AAGCAUCAAAGGCUAUGGACUCUUUCCGAGGUGAUGAAGUUGGUUGAUGGUGUUUCUCACUAUGGAGUUGGAAGAUGGACUGAUAUAAAGAGACUUCUUUUCUCAUCAUCUGCUUACCGGACACCUGUGGAUUUGAGGGUACUCCAUACUGCAUUCAAUUAAAUGAUUUUCUUUGUUCUUGAACCUGAAAUUUGUUUACUACUUGGGAACUCUACAGGACAAAUGGCGGAAUCUUCUAAGAGCUAGCUGUGCCCAAUUACAAAGCAAGAGAGAGGUCAGUCACCCACCCUGCUUCCUCUAUCUCUAUGUGUAGGGUAUAUCUGGUUCCACUGGUUUGAAAAUUUGUUUUAUCAUAGUUAAAUACGAACUCUGAACUAUGCUGAUGCUUGUUAUUAAUAUCCUACAUAUUAAUGUUUUUUACUUUUUAAUUAUGCAAAUAUGAAAGACACCUGCAUAUGCAUCUCAAGGCUUUGCACUAGCUAUGAAGAUUAGAAAUUUCAUUAGUCCAAACAUCAUUCACUGUCAUUUAUGUUACAUGGACAUUUCAAAAUGUUUUGAGGUUCAGACAUGACAUGAAAUAGGGCAUGGUAUGUUUGACCUAAAUGUGCUCUUUAGGAAGUGCCUGUGAUGUGUUGGCAUGCUUUGGCAUUUGUGUAUAAAUGCCAUAUGAUGUGCUCUACCUUACUAUCAUGGAUGGAACCUGCAUUUGCAUCUCAAUGCUUUUCACUAGCUAUGAAGAUUAGAAAUUUCAGUAGUCCAAUCAUCAUUCACUGUAAUCUAUGUUACAUUGACACUUAAAAAUAUUUUGAGGUUCUGGUAUGACAUGAAAUAGGUCUGGAUGUUUGUCCUAAAUGUGCUCUUUAAGAUGUGCCUAUGAUGUGUUGGCAUGCUCAUAGUUUUAAAAGGCUCAAGGCGCACCAAGGCGCAAAGUAGUCCUAGAGCCUGAGGCGCAAGACACACCUAAGGUGUGGGCUUUAGUGAAGUGAGGCGCACCCUAAUUUAUAUAUAUUUUUCCUCUAUUUUUCUCCUAUUUUUCCUCCUUUUCUUCGUCUUCUUCACUUCUCCACUACACGACCGAGUCUAGGGCAAAAUUUGAAAGAGUUGUCGGGUUGAAAACAACUAGAAAAGGGGGUUGCAAGGGAAAACAGGGCCAAAACGACGUCGUUUUGGACCCUGCUUUUUUAAAAGAACAGGGAUCAAACGUAGUCGUUUUGGUCCCAAAAAAGAAAAAAAGACAUUAGGGCUUCUCUUUGCCCUCUGCAACCCAACGCUAGAGAAGAAGAGAAGGAGAAGAAGGAGGUAGGGGAUCGAAGCGCACUUGUGGAUCGUGUCGCGCCUAAGCGGCGCCUUUGUGAAGAGGCGUCACUUGCCUUCAGACGAGGCGUCGCGCCGCCCGGAGCCUAAGGUGCGCCUUUCACAACUAUGGGCAUGCUUUGGCAUUUGUGUAUAAAUGCCAUAUGGUGUGCUCUACCUUACCAUCAUGGAUGGAUUUCUUUACAUUGACAAAUGUCCAAUUGUGAAGCAAAACUAAUCAACUUUAUAUGAAGAAAAAGUUAACAUUUAACCAUCCUUGCUAUCAUGGAUGGAUUAGCUUUGAUUUGGCAAAAAAUAAGGGAUCUCUUACUGUGAACAAUGAGUCUCUUAGAAGGUAAGUAUUGGUUCUCUGUAGAGUCGAAGUCCUUCGAGAUAUUGACUGAGAUUGUGAAAGGCAAGGUGCUGCACAGAGAGAGGUAUUGGUGGUUUGGAUUAGGUUCAGAGCCAAAAGUUUGGCUUUGUUGUUGGGAGGGGUCGAGUCUUGUUGCAAAUCCGAAAAAAAGAGUAGUUUCAGAAAGUUGUGGUUGGAAGGGGAAAGAAGUUUUUUGUUGAAGCUCAGGAGGAACCCAGCGGGUAACUUCCUCUAUUGCUCAGUUCGUACUGCAGAGGGAAGAUGUUUUUCGCUAGUGUUCCCUGAAGGUAAAGGCCUGAUAAGGGGUUGGUUGUUGCUUGCUAGUAAGCUUAGAAGCCUUGGUGUACCCACAGACUCUCUUUCUGUAGUUCCUAAGGAUGCUAACCCGGUUCAAUGAGUUUCAGAUAAAGGUUAUGUUGGAAGGAUUUCGUUUGCUGAUGCAGUUAGAAACGACAAGAAGGGUGUGGCUGAGGUUGUUUGGGUCUAAGUUGGAGGGAUUGAUGUGUUCAACAAAGUGAAAGACUUGAGGUUUUGCCUAGUGGGCAGAUGGGGUGAUGGCAAGCUCCCUUCUCUUCCUUAAGAUUGUUGGCCAAGUCUUACUAGCAUGUGAAGGGGGAACUUCAUCUUGCGUUUUGAGUGGUCCCCUAAUCCUCUUUGAGUUUGAGGUGCCUUUUGAGGUGGAGAGGAUUUUAAGAGAAAGGCGUGGCUGGUACAUGGGGAAAAAAAUUUGGCUUUUUGAAUGGUCUCCUGAGGUAGGAUGCUUAAAAGAAGAGGAACAGACGGAUGAAGUUUGGGUAAGAAUCUUGGGGCUACCCUUUUUUUGUGGGACGGUGACUUUUUUAAGCAGGUUGGGGAUGCCCGUGGUGGGUUUGUAAUGGUGGAUGAAUGCUCCUCCAAUGGUCGCAAGCUACAGUGGGCGAGAAUCUUGGUGAGAUCAAAAGAUUUCUUCCCAAGUAGUGUACGGGUUGUGGUGGGCGAUUUGUGUUUUUCCAUUCCUUUAUGGUGGGAAAUUUAUCCUAGGGUGGCGGUGGUGCAGAGCAGAAGAUUACAACAACAAAAGGUAGGAGAUGAAGUGGGUGCUGCCUCAUGCAUGAUGGUGAGAGUGGGUUGGGAGUCUCACUCGUUGGAAAGUGGGGAAGGAUGCGUGUCACCCUCCCAUGGGGCUGGGAGCACUGGUGAUGUGAGACAACCCACUUUUUCUUAGUCAUUGCAGAAAGUUGGUGCAGUUGGGUCUGCUUAUGAAGAAGCAGGCCCGGAUUGGCCCGGUAGCAAGGUGGAGGAGUGGCCCAAACUCUUGGAGACCCAUGCUGGGUGAAGUGGGCUGGGCCUUGAUGAGAUGGGUUGGGCGAAUAAAAAAGGGAUGCUGGGCAUUGAUGAAGAGUGCAGGGCUUUAAACAAAGGGGAUUUGGGUCAGCCCAGCAGUGAAGUGGGCUUUAAAUGCGGAACUACCCCUAGCUCCUCUGGGGCUCGUUUUGGUUCACAAGGAGAGAGAGAUCUCUUUCCUCAUUUUGGUGAUUCCUCUCACAGCAACGUGGUGAAUGAAGGUGAAGUCUGUGCGCUGUCAGAGGAGAGAGACCUAGUUACGGCUUGCAUAGUCAUUGUAGAUGAAGCGUUAAUGGAAUAAGCCUCAUGAUUUUGAGGUCCGUUUGUUCCCUCUUCUACUUUUCUUGGGCGGGUUAAGCUCUUAUCUUCUUCUACUCUAUCUCUUGCCUCACUCUGGUUGGAUGAAGCCUGUUCCAUGGGAGGAUAAGAGUGGGACUCCUUUGAGACUGAUAAUGGAGCCCAGGCCUUUGAGUGUCUUGAAGAUAGGUAGAGCGACAUUAAAGGAGGUGGAUUUCAGCACAAGGAGCAGUCCGCGGAGCUGGAUUUGGCUGUCUGACUAGGGGGACCCUCUUGAGGAAUCCUUUGGCAAGUUGCUGGCCUUUAAUAGGUUUGUGGGAAUGCCAAUUGAAGGUUUUGAAAAUGAAUUUUAGCCCUUUGGUGAAGAAUGCAGUCCAAGGAGGGCAGAAGCUCUCAACAGGGAAAAAAGAAAGCUUCAACCUCAGGGUCUAGAUUUGAGAGAGAAUUACACAAUCUUCAGUGUUCCAUCAAUUAUGACUCAAAUUCAGGGACUAGAAAAAGGGGUGAGAGUUCUUCGGGGAAUUUUGCGAAUUAUGGGGAUCCUUGGUGCAUUGGUGGGGAUUUCAAUGUGGUUAGAUUCCCCAUAGAAAGGAGAAAUAGCUCAAGAAUCUCUUUUGCAAUGAGGCGUUUUUUGGAGGUCAUUGAAGAGCUCCUAUUGAGGACUUAUCCCUUGCUCGGUGGUGUUUCACCUAGUGUGGUGGCUUGAACAACAGUUACUCGUCUAGGCUAGAUCGUUUCUUAGUCUCAGAAGAGUGGAAAGGUCACUUUAGUGGUCUUUCUCAAAAGUUGUUGCUGAGGCCCCCUUCUGAUCAUGCCCCCAUUCUUCUAGAUGAAGGGGGGAUCAGGAGUGGUAAAUCCCCCCUUCGUUUUAAGAACAUGUGGUUGAGAGUGGAAGGGUUCAAAGAUCUGGUGAGGAGAUGGUGGACAGGCUACACUUUUAGUGGCUCAUUUAGCCACAUCUUAGCCUACAAGCUAAUGGUGUUGAAGCAGGAUCUCAAAACCUUGAACACAGAGGUGAUUGGGAAUGUUUUCUCUAACAAAGAGGCUGCCUUUUUUCAGAUUGGUUAUUGGGAUGCUAAAGAAAGUGAUUUGAGACUAUCCCUUGAAGAUGCGGAGGCUAGAAGAACAACUGUGGACGAUUUUAGUAAGUGGACAAGUAUAGAAGAGAUUUCAUGGAGGUAGAAGUCACAGCAGCUGUGGUUGGAAGGAGGUGAUAAAAAUUCUCGGUUUUUCCACAAGAUGGCUAAUGCUUGGAGGAGGAUGACUUGGCUAACGUGUUAGGGUGCAAAGUGGGCUCUUUACAUUCUACUUAUUUGGGUCUUUCGCGGGGGCCCCCUUUCAAGUUUGUUCAUGCUUGGGGUGCAAUGGAGGAAAGAUUUCAAAGAAGACUUGCUUUGUGGAAGAGGCAGUACUUGUCAAAAGGAAGGAGACCGACUUUAUUAAAGAACAUUUUAUCUAGCCUGCUUAUCUAUUUCAUGUUUUUAUUUGUGAUCCCCCGUAAGGUGAGUCUUAAAUUGGAGAAGAUUCAAAGGGACUUCUAAUGGGGGGUGGGAGGGGAGGAGAGCUCCAAAGAAGGCCUAAUCUUGUAAGAUGGUCUAUUGUUGGCUUGGAAAAAAAGGAAGAGGGCUUGGGAGUAAGGAGCUUAAUCUCUUCUAAAUAAGGCUCUUCUCGGGAAGUGGUAUUGGAGAUUUGCUUCUGAGAAUGAUUCCUUUUGGAAAUCGGUUGUAGGAAAAGCAUGGGGAGGAAAAGGGAGGAUGGUGUUCUAGAAUUUCAACAAAAGGCGAUGGAGUGAGUCUUUGGAAGGUGAUUCGUUGUGGGUGGAAGGGGAUCUAUGACAGGAUUGGCUUUAGAGUGGGAGAUGGCAAGAGGGUGAAGUUUUGAAAAGAUAGGUGGUGUGGGGAGGAACCUUUAGCUGUGACAUUCCCAAAGCUGUUUUCAAUUGCCACUAAUAAAGCAGCUUGGGUAGAUCAAUUGUGGGAGUAGAAUGGGGAGACGGGUCCAGUGUUCUCUAGAUAGAUAAAUGAUUGGGAGUUAGGUGAGGUGGAAGGUUUGGUUAGAAGGUUGCAAGGGCACAUGGUCAGUGGAGGAUGCUAUAGUUUGGCAAUGGCGAAUAGGGGGAAGCUUUUCUGGCAAAUCUUACUACUCCUUAGCUGGUUGUUAUCUGAAGGGUUUCCCCACAAGCUUGGUGUGGAAUCCUUGGGUGUUGAUGAAAGUCAAUUUCUUUGCUUGGGAAGCUUUUUGGGAAAAAAAUUCUAACUCUAGAUCACCUAAAAAGGAGGGGUUGGAGCCUUUCAAAUAGAUGUUAUUUGUGUAAGGGUGAUCAGCAAACCAUAUUCUGAUUCAUUGUCCUGAAGCAAGCAUGUCAUGGCACCAUAUUUUGCAUUUAUUUGAUGUUUAGUGGGUGAUGCCAUUCUCAAUCAAGGAUGCCCUCAUCAGUUGGUGGGGGCUGGGAAGAAGAGGAAGAAGGCUUGAAAAGCUGCGCCAUUGUGUCUAUUUUGGACUUUAUGGAAGGAGAGAAAUCGAAGAGCUUUUGAAGAUUUUGAACUUAUAGAUCAUGUGAUUUUACACUCCUUUAUGUACAUGUUUUUGGAGCGGGUUAGGGUACAUAUAGAGUCUAAUUCUGUCGGUUUUAGUUUUCAUAGAUCGGUUGGGUUGUAAGUGAAGCGAGGGUGUUUGUUUUUGUCUAUCCCCUAUUUUUUUUUGGGCCUUGUAUACAUCGUGUAUACUUUAGGCACUUUUUGGAUGGAUUUCUUUAAAUUGACAAAUGUCUGAGAGUGAAGCAAAACUGAUCAACUUCAUACAUAGAAAAAUUGACAAUUAACCAUCCUUACCAUCAUGGAUGGUUUUCAUCACAUUGACAAAUGUCCGAGUGUGAAGCAAAGCUGAUCAACUUUAUAUGAAGAAAAAUUAGCAAUUAACCAUUGACCUGCACUAAUAAGUAGAAAAUUUACAGGUUCAUCUACAUUUGGUAGUGAGUUAGGCAACCCUUCCACAUUUGGUCAUUGGUUAGGUGCUCCAAAAAUUUGGUUGCAUCUGGCAAUGUAAUCUGUACAUGUUGACUAUGGAGAUGUAGAUAUUAAAGGCACAGCUUAUUGUAUGCAUUCUGUAGCAUGACUAUAUGUAAAUCUGUAACAUGGAUUAAUAUACUUAAUAUCUUUUUGCACCCAUAAUAUCAGUGUAAAAUGUCAAAAAUUUAUUUUAUUGGAGUUGUUUCUUGGCUUUUUUUUUGGGAGGAUAAAUUUACAUUGUUGACUUGCAUGAUUUGAAAUUUUAUAUAUAUUAGAAUCUAAAUAUGUGUUUAUAUGUUGGCGCAUCCGACUGAAUUUCCAAAAUAUAAUUAAAAAUAAAAUUUGUAGGUCAAGAUUGGCCAGCAAAUUGUUAUUUGGCAAAGAAGUGGUUAUGGUAUAGAAUUAGAAUAAUUGAAGUUUGAAAAAUGGUUGAUGCAGGUAGAGCAAAAAAGGAAGCAUGCCAUGCGGCCCUUACCACAGACUCUGCUACACCGUGUUAGCGAACUGGCAAUUAUUCAUCCAUACCCAAAGGGGAGCAACUCCAAGCUUCCACAUGUUGGCCAUGUUACUUCUGCCAUGCUUCCGACUACAAGUAAAGAUGCUCCUUCCAGCCUGGGUAGGAGACUGGUAC